AGAGAAGGCAUUUGACACACUGGCUCAAUAUCACCACCUCCUUACAAGUGAUGUCAGCAACUCAAAUAGCUCAAAUGGGCUUCCACGCUUGUACACAUCAUUUCUCUGACUUUGUCUACUAAGAAGAAGUCCGUUAACCAGAGCUCGCCAUCCGAUCAACAAGAUUCCAGUGCUUCCCAUGGAUACCAAAAUAAACGGUGCCUGUGGAAUAUGCCCGGAUGUUGCUGUCCUGAUGGCAAGUCCCAACGGUAUCCCCACUGCCCAGGACUUAGCAGUCGCCACUAUAGCUUUGGUAGUGCCAUUCUUACCUUUUCCAUCAUCUCCAAAACCUCCAAGGAAGUAUGCGCUUAAAAGCCAUCCGGCGAUGAAAGGGUCGGCAGUCCGCACCGUCUCAAAAUCAAGAACUGGCAAACCAUGGCUGAAUCUCCCAACCGCGCAAAACACAAUCAAGCACAAAACAUCCCCGCCGGCGAGAAGGGCCACCUGCCCCCAUGAGAUAAGCCGCG
rnacentral:misc_RNA from 1 species